rnacentral:rRNA from 1 species
UGAGCAACCUGCCCUUGACCCUGGAAUAACAGCUGGAAACAGCUGCUAAUACCGGAUAUGACCUCCGAUGGCAUCAUCUGGAGGUGGAAAGCUCCGACGGUCAAGGAUGGGCUCGCGGCCUAUCAGCUUGUUGGUGAGGUAACGGCUCACCAAGGCUUCGGACGGGUAGCCGGCCUGAGAGGGCGACCGGCCACACGUGGGACUGAGAUACGGCCCAGACCUCGUACGGGAGG